AUUGAACGCUGGCGGCAGGCCUAACACAUGCAAGUCGAACGAGUGGCGGACGGGGGAGUAAUGUCUGGGAAACUGCCCGAUGGAGGGGGAUAACUACUGGAAACGGUAGCUAAUAUAGCGUACUAUAGGAUAUGCCCAGAUGGGAGUAGCUUGUAGGUGAGGUAAAGGCGCACCUAGGCGACGAUCCCUAGGUGGUCUGCGAGGAUGACCCGCCACACUGGAACUGAGACACGGGCCAGACUCCUACGGGAGGCAGCAGUGGGGAAUAUUGCACAAUGGGCGGAAGCCUGAUGCAGCCAUGCCGCGUGUAUGAAGAAGGCCUGCGGGUUGUAAAGUACUUUCAGCGGGGAGGCGUUACCCGCAGAAGAAGCACCGGCGAACGCCGUGCCAGCAGCGGCGGUAAUGC
rnacentral:rRNA from 1 species